CGCCUUCUGGGGGAAUAGAAGGUCUAACCUGCCCACUGAAAGUAUUAAAGGGCCGCGGUAUUUUGACCGUGCAAAGGUAGCAUAAUCAUUAGUCUUCUAAUUAAAGGCUGGAAUGAAUGGUUGGACGAGGUAUUAGCUGUCUCACUAGAAUCAUCGGAAUUUAGCUUUUCAGUCAAAAGGCUGAAAUAAAAUUGGAGGACGAGAAGACCCUGUAGAGCUUUACGCUAGAAACAUUUACUUUUUUUGGUUGGGGUUUAGGUUUAUGUGGGAGGCGUUUCGUUGGGGUGACGGGAAGAUAGGAUGAACUCUUUUUACAAUUUAACACAGAUUCGUGGGUAUUUGAUCCAUAAUUUAUGAUUAGAAGACUAAGUUACCUCAGGGAUAACAGCGUAAUCUUUUUUGAGAGUUCUAAUCGACAAAAAGGGUUGCGACCUCGAUGUUGGACUAAAGGUUAUUCUUGGGUGUAGCAGCUCAAGGUUUAGGUCUGUUCGACCUUUGAAUCUUUACAU
rnacentral:rRNA from 1 species